rnacentral:rRNA from 1 species
GAUGAACGCUGGCGGCGUGCUUAAUACAUGCAAGUCGAGCGAGGACCACUUGGUGGCAACACCGGGUGGCUCCUAGCGGCGAACGGGUGAGUAACACGUGGGCAACCUGCCCCCGACACUGGGAUAAGCCCGGGAAACUGGGUCUAAUACCGGAUACGAACCUCCUCCGCAUGGUGGAGGUUGGAAAGGGUCUCCGGUCGGGGAUGGGCCCGCGGCCUAUCAGCUUGUUGGUGGGGUGAUGGCCUACCAAGGCGACGACGGGUAGCCGGCCUGAGAGGGUGUCCGGCCACACUGGGACUGAGAUACGGCCCAGACUCCUACGGGAGGCAGCAGUGGGGAAUAUUGCACAAUGGGCGCAAGCCUGAUGCAGCGACGCCGCGUGAGGGAUGACGGCCUUCGGGUUGUAAACCUCUUUCAGCAGGGACGAAGCGCAAGUGACGGUACCUGUAGAAGAAGCACCGGCCAACUACGUGCCAGCAGCCGCAGUAAAAC